UACGAAGGGUGCAAGCGUUACUCGGAAUUACUGGGCGUAAAGCGUGCGUAGGUGGUUUGUUAAGUCUGAUGUGAAAGCCCUGGGCUCAACCUGGGAAUUGCAUUGGAUACUGGCAGGCUAGAGUGCGGUAGAGGGUAGUGGAAUUCCCGGUGUAGCAGUGAAAUGCGUAGAGAUCGGGAGGAACAUCUGUGGCGGAAGGCGACUACCUGGACCAGCACUGACACUGAGGCACGAAAGCGUGGG
rnacentral:rRNA from 1 species